GAUGACAUCUGCCACUCCCAUCCUCAUGCUAUUCUCUUUGAACCCCUGACUCAGCGAGCCCCAAUCCAAAAAAGCAGAACUAGCUAUUUUUCACACCAAGAGAAAAAUGUCAGGCAGUACACUUGCCGAACUCCUUCCUGACCCUGAAACUCUUAGUCUUUGCACUUAACCCCUUGCUCCUCCCGCUGCCUCUUUGCUCCUUUCUCUUCUAGAUGGCUAAGUUGCAAGCUCCACCACCGUCUCUAGUGAAGAUCCUGAAGGGAAAGGGUUGUUCUGCAGCCACAGAGUCUGGAAUACUGCCUGUUGCACAGAAGGUUCUCCGUAGGUGUCAGCAGAUGGGAACUGAAUCCAAAAUCCCGUGUCCACCCUAAAGUGGCCCUUUCUCCAGCAGGUCUGAGACAACGGCUGCUUGUUUAUUCACUCAUUCAACAAAUAUUUAUUGAGCACCUACUAGGAGCCAGAACUUCCGCGAGGGACUGGAGCUACGGGGAUGGCAAGAUCCCAGGGCUCCAUCCUGACGGAGACCACCUUCUUGUAGACCUAAUGUCGGAGUGAACCUUCUGGCAGAAACCUCCAGGGAAUGAGCCGGGAAGAACUCAGAGGGUCACGACAACAAAUUACAACGUCCAAGGCUUUACUCUUUACAAAGCAGGGCAGUGCACUGGGAAUCAGGCAGACAGCUAUCCAGUCUGAGACAGCACUGGACUGGGGCAGACCUGUCUCUGUAGAACCUGAUGCCUGGAGGAGCAGAAGAAAGUGUGUGCUGUCAGAGAGAAGAAAGGAGGGAAGGCACUGAGGUGAGCAUGCCCAGUUCCUUCUCCCAAACCCGCCAAUCAAUGAACUCCUCCUCCUGUGGGAAACUGUCAGAGAGGGGACCAAGAGCCGCUGAGAUGUUACUGUGAUGGGCCUCCUGCCACAUGGGAAUUUGAAGCCAGAGCAAAGAAGGUUCUCCAGCAACAGACACCACGAUGAAGAAUGAGGCAAAGUGAGGGCCUGGUCAAGGACCCCCAAACACAGCCUCUUGGCAAAGAAGAUGGCAGAAAGCAGAACUUGAUCUUAAGAGAAGGUUUACCUUCAAGUAUAGUUGCAACCAUACUGGUAUAACUCAGGUCACAUUAUAGGUAGAAAAACUGAGACUCCAGAGUAUUACUUCCAUGAUUGCGCCAAUCACCACAAUCGACAUCACCUGCCUUUGCCGAGAACACACCCCUCUCUGCUCAACAUCUGCCUUCUUGCCUGUGGCAGACAAGAUCUGCAUCACCGAAAAAGCGGGGCAUCAAGUGGAAAUUGGCAUCGUGAAUUUCAAACCCAAUCCUUUACAUGUUUCCUGUCUUGGUUGCGUGGCAGGAUGGGCUUCUCUGAGCUCUGCACCCUCUCUGCUCCUUCCCAUUCUCAAUCCUGGAAGGAGAUGAGAAUAUAGAUCUUUUAACACAAUAAUGCUGCAAAGGUCUCCAAGAACCUAUUAAUGUUGGUAAGACAGAAAUAGAUCUCUUUAGCCUCAGUCACAAGGUGUUGUGGCUAGAUGGAACCAGCGGCCCUGGGAAGAGGGCAGAGAGGUAGAAGAACGAGGCAGAAGAAAGGAGGAGGCAAAGAGGGAGAGAAGGUUCCCACCCAGAGAGCACAGGAAUAGUCAAGAUGUGUUAUACCAUCCUCUUGACUUUGAGGACAUUUGUGAUUGGCUGGCUAAUAAUAAGAUGGGGAGCUUCCUGGGAGUGGACUCUACCUGCUUGCUCUUCCAGGGGUUGUUGGGCAUAAGGCAGGGUUUUACUUAAAUGGCCACAUCAUCCUCACUUACCAGUGGCCUCUUUACCGAGUUCCUCUCUCCUCACUGAUGACCAAUCCUUGUCUCUUCUUUCUCUGCAAGGUCUUUCUGUCAUCUGUCUCAUUUCUGUUUUCACUGCUCUGUUCAUCAACUCCUGAUUCGCCUGCUGGAAAAACAUCUUACCUGGACUUCCUGCCUUUAUGACCUCUCAAAUGCAUCUCCUGUUCAUUUCCAACCAGAGGGAUCUUUCUGAAAAUCAGAUCUGAUCUGUGAAGGCCCUCUGGUAUUCAAAAGUCUUUGCUCGCUCCCCAUUGCCUACAAAAAUAAAGUCUCAGAUCCAAGAUCCUCAGGCCAGCAUUCAACUUAUCUCCCACUGUUAUCAUUCGUACAACUUAAACACUAAGACAAGUGUAGCUAAGCAAGUGUGGAAUGUUGGAUCAGAAGGAAAGGGGUUAGGGGUAACUGGACAAAUGGAGCAGUUUUGCAG
ensembl:lncRNA